CAGAUUGUCGUGGGACGGUUAGCCACACCCUUUUAGAAAGGGGGUGGUAGGAUGAUCUCAAUGGUUGAGGCGAUGUAUCUUAUGAUUGCAUUUGCUACACUCGUUGUUAUGAUCACGAAAAAGAAAUAACCGCCCCUGCUAAGGAUUGCGGUUAUUUCUUAUAACUUGUAAAUCUGACUAACCUUUGGUUAGACAAUCUGCCGGACUGGCGUGAUUUCAACACGUCAG
rnacentral:misc_RNA from 1 species